UGGGGAAUUUUGGACAAUGGGCGAAAGCCUGAUCCAGCAAUGCCGCGUGUGUGAAGAAGGCCUUCGGGUUGUAAAGCACUUUUGUCCGGAAAGAAAUCCUUGGCUCUAAUACAGUCGGGGGAUGACGGUACCGGAAGAAUAAGCACCGGCUAACUACGUGCCAGCAGCCGCGGUAAUACGUAGGGUGCAAGCGUUAAUCGGAAUUACUGGGCGUAAAGCGUGCGCAGGCGGUUUGCUAAGACCGAUGUGAAAUCCCCGGGCUCAACCUGGGAACUGCAUUGGUGACUGGCAGGCUAGAGUAUGGCAGAGGGGGGUAAAUUCCACGUGUAGCAGUGAAAUGCGUAGAGAUGUGGAGGAAUACCGAUGGCGAAGGCAGCCCCCUGGGCCAAUACUGACGCUCAUGCACGAAAGCGUGGGGAGCAAACAGGAUUAGAUACCCUGGUAGUCCACGCCCUAAAACGAUGUCAACUAGUUGUUGGGGAUUCAUUUCCUUAGUAACGUAGCUAACGCGUGAAGUUGACCGCCUGGGGAGUACGGUCGCAAGAUUAAAACUCAAAGGAAUUGACGGGGUCAUAGCUGUUUCCU
rnacentral:rRNA from 1 species